AGAGUUUGAUCAUGGCUCAGGACGAACGCUGGCGGCGUGCUUAACACAUGCAAGUCGAACGAGACGAUUGAAAGCUUGCUUUUGAAAGUCGAGUGGCAAACGGGUGAGUAACGCGUAGACAACCUGCCGUAAAGAUGGGGACAACAGUCCGAAAGGACUGCUAAUACCGAAUGUUGUAAAUCUUCCGCAUGGAAGACUUACUAAAGGUGGCCUCUACUUGUAAGCUAUCGCUUUACGAUGGGUCUGCGUCUGAUUGGCUGGUUGGUGGGGUAACGGCCUACCAAGGCGACGAUCAGUAGCCGGUCUGAGAGGAUGAACGGCCACAUUGGAACUGAGACACGGCCCAGACUCCUACGGGAGGCAGCAGUGGGGAAUAUUGCACAAUGGGGGAAACCCUGAUGCAGCGACGCCGCGUGGAGGAAGAAGGUCUUCGGAUUGUAAACUCCUGUUGUUGGGGAAGAUAAUGACGGUACCCAACAAGGAAGUGACGGCUAACUACGUGCCAGCAGCCGCGGUAAAACGUAGGUCACAAGCGUUGUCCGGAAUUACUGGGUGUAAAGGGAGCGCAGGCGGGAAGACAAGUUGGAAGUGAAAUCUAUGGGCUCAACCCAUAAACUGCUUUCAAAACUGUUUUUCUUGAGUAGUGCAGAGGUAGGCGGAAUUCCCGGUGUAGCGGUGGAAUGCGUAGAUAUCGGGAGGAACACCAGUGGCGAAGGCGGCCUACUGGGCACCAACUGACGCUGAGGCUCGAAAGUGUGGGUAGCAAACAGGAUUAGAUACCCUGGUAGUCCACACCGUAAACGAUGAUUACUAGGUGUUGGAGGAUUGACCCCUUCAGUGCCGCAGUUAACACAAUAAGUAAUCCACCUGGGGAGUACGACCGCAAGGUUGAAACUCAAAGGAAUUGACGGGGGCCCGCACAAGCAGUGGAGUAUGUGGUUUAAUUCGACGCAACGCGAAGAACCUUACCAAGUCUUGACAUCCCUUGACGAUGCUGGAAACAGUGUUUCUCUUCGGAGCAAGGAGACAGGUGGUGCAUGGUUGUCGUCAGCUCGUGUCGUGAGAUGUUGGGUUAAGUCCCGCAACGAGCGCAACCCUUAUGGUCAGUUACUACGCAAGAGGACUCUGGCCAGACUGCCGUUGACAAAACGGAGGAAGGUGGGGAUGACGUCAAAUCAUCAUGCCCUUUAUGACUUGGGCUACACACGUACUACAAUGGCGUUAAACAAAGAGAAGCAAGACCGCGAGGUGGAGCAAAACUCAGAAACAACGUCCCAGUUCGGACUGCAGGCUGCAACUCGCCUGCACGAAGUUGGAAUUGCUAGUAAUCGUGGAUCAGCAUGCCACGGUGAAUACGUUCCCGGGCCUUGUACACACCGCCCGUCACACCAUGAGAGCCGGGGGGACCCGAAGUCGGUAGUCUAACCGCAAGGAGGACGCCGCCGAAGGUAAAACUGGUGAUUGGGGUGAAGUCGUAACAAGGU
rnacentral:rRNA from 1 species